rnacentral:lncRNA from 1 species
UCCUUGCGUUUGACUCUUAUCAUUUGCAAAGAAUAUAAGAAGUCCUUGUAUUUAAUUUUUUGAAAUCCAGAAAGUGAUAAAGUCGUUGUAUAUACUUUCAUAAUCGUUGCAUUGAAAAUCUAAAUGCAAGGACUUCAAGUGAAUUCCUUGCCCGACCCCUUACAAUUAUUGACUCCGCUCUCGGUGAGGUGAGUCUAUCACUUGGCUAUUGGAGGAAAAUAACAAAAAUUCUCCUCUUACUCCGAAAAGAAGAAGACCCCAGAUCCACGAAUACCCCAACCUCUAGAUCUGCUUUCUUACUGCCGAUCUGGUACUACGCAUGAAUACCCACUCCCAAACUGAAGCUAAUUUCUCCAUUUCAAGCACCGUCGUCAUCAUCGACACCUUCAUCCGGUCUCUUGCUCCCGCAAACUUUUAAGAUCUCUCUCAUGGGUUUAAAUUUUCUUCCACGAGAUUUUUAUGGGUUUAAUUUCUCAAUUAGGGUUUUAAUUUCACUUCUGGGUUUAAUUUCAGAAUAGCUGAUGGUGAAAAUCUUUCAUUCUGUUUUUUAUUUUUGUAGCUUUAAACUGUACCAAUCUACUGAUUGAGUAAAACCCAUAUCAUCUCUCGGGUCAUUUCUGAGUCCUAUGAUGAUUGAAGGUGUUGGGUUUCUUUUGUUUCAUUUAAGGCUAACUUCUUGAAACUAGUUUAAAAUGGUUGAUAGCAACCCAUCAUCUACAAAGGUACAAUUAAUCUAGGCCAACUUUAUACAAUAAGUGAUUCCCACCAUCUUGUAUAUUCAACUGUCUUACCUCACAAGGUAGGACAAUUUUGAGGUAAUUCUCUCAGUUACAUGUAUAUCAAGACUCGUACUGCUUCACAAAAAGAAAUACACCAUUUAGUUUGUGCAUAUUCUGAACUGAUACCAAACUCUUUUUUUUUUUUUCCUUUAACAGGUCUUAAACAAUCAAGAAGGAAGACUUAUUGUCUUAAAUCUUGAAUGAAUUAUGGUAAUCGCUAGGAACUGAAAUCUAGGCUUUCUAUUAAUAUAAAUGAUGAUUGAUAAUUAUCUGAUUGAAGAAACUAAGUAAACCAUUCAUAAUACAAAUCUAGUCCAUGAGAAGUUACUACUUACAAGUACAAGUUAUAAGGGAGUGGGUUGAUUAGUUAAGGGACCGGUACUGUGUACUAAAGAUCUGGAAGUCAGUAGAAAAAAACAGUGGGUUGAUUAGUUAAGGGACUAUACUUUGGUACUGUAUACAUAAAAAAAAGAAGUCAGUAGAAUCCCUUUCAAAUGACUUGAUAUUUUAAAGAGCUAUACUUUGGUUCUGUGUACUACAGAUCUGGAAGUGCUCAUGUGUUGGGUUUAUAUAUGAUUUAUGAUUAUUUUCUAAGUAAACUGGUACACCUAAAAUAGGCAUAAUAAUUUAACCCUGCAAUCACAAAUAUUAAUCAAUUGUAGUAUAGGAAAGAAGGGGUCUCCUGCAGAGAGAUUGCAUUUGUGUUUGGAGUGGAAGUUGAGCAGUGAAGUCUUCACAGAGCUUUUCCUAUCUUUCUGUUAUUCAAGUAUAUAUUGGGGAGUAGCUGCACCACUAUAUGCCAUUGCAAGAACGGACAGUAAGCACUGAUGCUGACAAAUUGUCUCAAGUUUCUGUUUCAAACGCCUUUAAGCGUCGUUUGUAUGGAUCUGGAACUAGAUGUGUUCUGUGAUCAAGUGAAAUACUGCUAAAUUGCAAUUUUCGAUGUACAAAGGAACCAAUUGUUUUUAAUUGAAGGAAUAAAAAAAAAAAAAGUCUGGAAUGACAUUUGGG